rnacentral:rRNA from 1 species
UGCUAGGUGUGCGAGCAGAGAUGUUGGUGUGCCGCAGUUAACGCGAUAAGCAUUCCGCCUGGGGAGUACGGUCGCAAGAUUGAAACUCAAAGGAAUUGACGGGGGCCCGCACAAGCGGUGGAGCACGUGGUUUAAUUCGAUGCAAACCGAAGAACCUUACCUGGGUUUGACAUGUAUGUGGUAGGAGUCUGAAAGGGCGAGACGUACUUUCGGGUACGAGCAUACACAGGUGCUGCAUGGCUGUCGUCAG